rnacentral:rRNA from 1 species
UACGUGGGGAGCGAGCGUUGUUCGGAAUUACUGGGCGUAAAGCGCGUGUAGGCGGCUGUCUAUGUCAGGUGUGAAAGCCCUCGGCCUAACCGAGGAAGUGCGCCUGAAACUGGAUGGCUUGAGUACGAGAGAGGAGUACGGAAUUCCCAGUGUAGAGGUGAAAUUCGUAGAUAUUGGGAGGAACACCGGCGGCGAAAGCGGUUCUCUAGAUCGAUACUGACGCUAAGACGCGAAAGCGUGGGGAGCAAACAGG